CUACUUACCUGACAGGAGAGACACCAUGAUCAGGGAGGUUUUCCCAGGGCGAGGCUCAUCCAAUGCACUGGGGAUGUGCUGACCCCUGAGAUUUCCCCAAAUGCAAGAAACGCAACUGCAUAAUUUGUGGUAGUAGGGGACUGUGUUCACACUCUCCCAUG
ensembl:snRNA U1 U1 spliceosomal RNA